ACGAUGGGAACUCCUCAACACACUAUAUAUGUAUACGUAUAUAUAUAUUUCUUAAGGUGAGGAUUCUGAACUUUGAUCAUCCCCUUAUCAGACCUCAUGACAUUUAAUCAACUUUAAGGUUUUCAAAUCAGUUGCUUCUCAGUAAGUGCCAAGUAAGCUGAGUCUUCUAAGGGCAAAGAUGUAAAAAAUAAGGAACCAUUAUUAGUGUUUUAAAGGUUGAAAUUGUGUGUGAGAUUCUUAAGUACACGUAGAUCCUUUUCCAGCCUCACAUUAUAGCCACCCUCCGUGCAACAUCAUGUCACCCUCAUUUCAGUGGACAGAAAGUGCUCCCCUUGAUUGGCAGCAAGCGUUAGAAAACGAUGACAAACCUCCAUCACUUAGCAACUUGGGAUCUUGUUCUUCCACUCUCUUCUCAUCUCCCAUGUUAGCACAAAUCCCGAAUGUGUUUCAUCUCAGACUUUGUGGAAUGUUUUCCUUGUAGUAUUUUAUUCUUAGUCAUCAUCACUAGCUUAGCUUAUCAGCGUUACAGUUUCUUCAGAUCCUAGAAAUUUGCUACUCAAAAUGCAGUCCCCGGACCAACGGCAGUAUCACCUGGCAGCUUUAGAAAUCUAGCCCUGCCUGUCUCUGACACGCUGAAUCUACGUUUUAACAAGAUUGACAGGUGAGAUCCAUUUGGACAUUAAAGUUUGAGAAGCAUGCUGGUAGAACAUUUUUUUUUUUUUCAGUAAAAUGAAAAUAAGCUUAAAUUAGCUUGAUUUUUUGCUGAGUGUGAAAACUAUUACAUUUUAUUGGUAAGUUACUUGAAUAUAAUGUAAGUAACACUAAGGAAUAACUGAGCUUAAAAGGACCCAAUGUGAUAUAGUUUUAACCUCAUUUUAAACAGCUCUACAUAGGUCAAAUGAAUAGUUCAGUAACAUAUUCAUACUGACUUAACGUGUAAUGAGAAUACAGGUCCCUGAGUUUCCGUCCUACAAUAUGUUAUACUAAUUAAAGGAAAUAGUUCUUUCCCUUAAUAGCUGUUAUUCACAAAAUUACUGGAAUUUAAUGUGCAAUAGGCAGAGCCAAUGAUAGCAGUCAGUUUAACUUUUUAUUUCAUAAUGAACAUCAAAUCUAGACUGACAGGCAAAGAACUUCCACAUGAAUUGAUUUUGUUAAAUGACUGGAAAUUCACACUCUCAAGCCCUGUCUGUUACCUCAUGUGGUAUAAUAAAAUGGCCCUCUGGUCAUUUUGAUAAAUAUCUUCUUUAUUCACUGAAUGCUGCUUCACAUCUUUUCCCAGCUCCAAUUGGAUAGCAGAAUUAUUUUUUAACGAUUUUUAUUUUUUCCAUUAUAGUUGGUUUACUGUGUUCUGUCAAUUUUCUACUGUACAGCAAAGUGACCCAGUCACACACACACAUACAUACACACAUUCUUUUUCUCACAUUAUCCUCUAUCAUGUUCCAUCGCAAGUGACUAGAUCUAGUUCCCUGUGCUAUACAGCAGGAUCUCCUUGCUUAUCCACUCCAAAUGCAUCUACUGACCCCUGAGACUCCCAGUCCCUCCUGCUCCCGCCCUCAGCAACCACAAGUCUGUUUUCCAAGUCCACGCUUUGAUGGCAGAAUUCUGUAGUUGGAAUACCUAAGCUUUACUAAGUGAUGCUCUUUCUGGGUUAGAGCUGUGGUCAUUAUAAAUAAAGGUUUAGCUCUGCUUACUACGUCUUCAGGAGCUACUACCCCUACCCCUGGCACAGUUUUUCAUGUUCUCAUGGCCAGGAGUUUUCUCUGUUGUCCUGUCUUGCUGAGUAUUUCCUGCUUACCACUCCCAUCACUCUCUGAACCUUAUUGCUACUUUAGCUAUCACACUGUUUAUUUUCCUCUUUUCUUUGCUGUCUUCUCUUCUUUGCAGUUAAGAUUGUUGCUCCUGUGACUUAACAUUUCUAUUACCAUAACCAAUUAGGUUCUUCUUUUCAGCUGGUUAAUAAACUGGCAUAUGACAAUGCACUGUACAUUGUAUUCAGAUGUCUAUUUUUGUCCAGUUCAGCUAAAAUCCUCCUUUUAAAAACUUUGUUUUUUAACUGGGAUUGUAACAAUUCCAGAUGAUUUUAAUCACCAAAGGUCUCCAGAAACCUUAAGUGUGAAUAAUAUUUAUCACUGAUGUGUUCAAUGCUAGUGGAGGAGAAUCUGUUGAAGAAUUGUGACUAAAGAGUUCCUUAUAAGGACACGUAUGAAUUUCCAAAAAGGUAGUUUCAUUUAGUCAUGAUUCAUAGAAGUUGAAGUGCAUAUGUUCAAAGGAACAAUUACUGCUAUUUUGUAAAGAUGAAAACCGCUCCAGGGAGCGUAUAGUAAAUAACAUUGCUCAAGUUGUCUCUUCCCAGUGUUUAGAGUUUUAUAAUGUAUAUUAUAAACAAAUUAUAAAUAUUUUUAUAAUUUAUGGAAAAGGCAUAGGCAUCGACAGUAGACUAAACUAUAUUCAGAGACCUUAUCUGCUAUUCAGUAGUUAGGAGACCUUUUAAAACCUUUUCUCAUCUUAAAACAGAGAUGGGGAGUUCCCGUUGUGGCGCAGUGGUUAAUGAAUCCGACCAAGAACCAUGAGGUUGCGGGUUCGAUCCCUGGCCUUGCUCAGUGGGUUAAGGACCCGGCAUUGCUGUGAGCUGUGGUGAAGGUUGCAGACGCUGGUGGCUCUGGUGUAGGCUGGUGGCUACGGCUCCGAUUUGACCCCUAGCCUGGGAACCUCCAUAUGCCGAGGGAGCGGGCCUAGAAAAGGCAAAAAGACAAAAAACAAAAACAGAGAUGGUAUCUGCCUCAUACGUUCACCCAGAGGAUUAUGUGAAAGACAGUUCCAUUCCCUUGAUAAUUUUUCUCUUUCUUCUUGCUUGGGGAAAAUUCUUGGCAUUCCAUUAUGGAAUUUUCCCCCCUACAUGUUAACUUAGACCUCUCUGCAAAAGACAUUUGUUGGACAUUUGCUAUUGGCAUUGUAGGGGAUUCAAGGGUAAGUGGAACCACAGUAGAGUCUCUUCUUUUUUUGAGCAAAUUUGUUCCAACAUACUUGACAUAUUAGGGAACUUGGGCAUUAUAUGCAUUUUGCAUUUAAUGUGCGAAUUUCAUUGUGGGAAACAUGGAUGAAAGACAACUGUUUAUAAAUAUACUGAGUGCACAUGUGUACUCAUCUCAGACAUCUGUCAGCGCUCAGCUCUUCACGUGUGAGGGUCCACACUUAACCACAUCUGGUGUUAGCAACUUUACCUCUACCUUCACACAGCCCUCCUUCCAACACAUCUCAAGCUGCAGCACUUCCAACAUCCACUUCCACAAGCACACUUCAGAUCUUUUUCAAGAGAAAGUGUCAUAUUUAUAGCAUUAUUUAUAUAUUUCUUAACCAUUUGACAUUUAACACUGUGCUGCCAUGUUUUAUUCUAUUUUUUGUGUCAUUGAUGUUUUUGAGUGUUGUAUUCCUACCCCCAUUUUUUCCCCAUGAGCCUGGUGGUUUCUAUCAUGUGAUUUUGCAUAAUGUGGCAGCUUCUGGAAAUGCUUGUGCUUUGUUACAGUACAACUGUCUGCUUUCAAGGAGCUGCUCAUCCAGUUUGCAUUAUGACAGGAAGCAUAUAGGGAAAUGUGAUGGCCAUCAGAAAACAGGACUUGAGGUUGGGCCUCACCAUUUACCCAUCCGGGCACAUGGAACAAGGCAUGUUAGGACCCAUUUCCUUCUUUAUGUCCUUUCCAUCUUGUCUGUUUUUACAGGUGUCAUGCUUAAAACGAUAAUGCCCGUUAUGUUUAUUUUAGUUUUUAUAAAUCAAUCUCUCGAACAUUAGUUUGGAAUUUGGGCAUGAUAUUGAUUACUUUCUUGAGAGAAGAGCAUUAAUUUUAACCAGUCGUGAAUACUAAAAAUAUUGCACUCUAUGUAAUAGUGUAUUUAUUACUUAAUGUAUGGAGUAGUAUAGGCAACAAAAGUGGCAAAUAUUAAGAUAUAUUAAAAGUGUUUCAUAAAUUAUUUUUAGUUUCAAACAAUAAUUAUGUAAGCACUUUAUAAAAUAUCAACCGCUUUUGGAACGUCUAGUAAAAAAAUCACCUUUU
rnacentral:lncRNA from 1 species